AGCUCUCUCUCUCUUUUUCUUUUUCUUCUUUUUUUUUUUUUAUCACUUGCUUUGUGGGGGAAGGCAGCUGCCGCAUCAUGAGAAUGCCUGUGCAGCCCAUGGAAGGUACCCGUGGAAGGAACAAAGAUGUCCACACGAUAGCCCGGGACACAAGUGAUCCCGAAAGUGGAUCUUCCAGCCCCAGGUGAUCGCAGCCCCAGCCCACGGCUUCCCUGCAACCUCAAGAGAAACUGAACCAGAAGAAAAGAGAAGACCUGGCUGGUGAAAAGAGACCUAAGAUUCUCCCUCUAAGAAGCUGCCUGGAUUUACUGAGACCCAGCUUUGUCCUUGUGAGUAUGGACCAUGGCCUAUGGAAAUGACCCAGCAGCAAGACGGAAGGUAUCCAUGAUCCUCAGUGGCUUGGAGGAGCAACACUGCCCACCUUAAAACAUUUAUAUGAGAAGCAGAGAAACAAACCUCUAAUUUAAGCCACUGUCUUUUUAAAAACAUAUUUUGUGAUUGCUUUCUUUCAGCCGCUUAGCUCUUACCUCAGCUCAUACAGAAUUACUGGCUUCAUUUUACAGAUCAAGAAAAGUGAAGUUCAUGGAGGUAAGUCACUCAUGUCACGACUUUUCCAGCUUCCCCAUCUUCCUCAGCAGCAAGUAGGCCCAGGACUGGAGAACACUCAGCCCGUACAGGAUCCAAGUUGAAACUGUCUUUAACUUCUCCAUUUCUGGAUCUCAAAUGAGCACCCUUCUGCUUGACAGUUCUCCUCAAGAGGUCUGCUUUCUCCAAACAGCCUGUCCCCAUUGUAAGAAGUUCCAGAAGGGGCUCGCAGGGUUGAGGGUUAUGUGGCACCACCCCAGCUCAUCUCAACACCUCUGACAAAGGGCAGUGGAAGAAAGGAUUCUUUCCGUGUGAAUUCUUGUCAGUCUUUGCCUCUUAAGGAGUAUAUUAUUCCUUACAAAAGAAAUGCAUCAUCUUGUUCUACAAAUAAAUAUAAUUAUUACCAAAUUUGUGUUCUGCUGACCAAAUAACACAGCCAUAAAAAGAUAAUCUUCAUGAAAUGAAUGAGUAGGCCUCCUCUCUAAGCCACUAAGGCAAAAACCUUGAGAGUAAAUCAAGACAAAUGGGAAGCCAGCUGGAAGAAAUCAAAUGGGCAGAGCAGGUGGGUUGGCCUGUGCUUGGGAAGGAUGAAACACAGCGCGAGGCAUUGCACUUUUACACAAAAGCAAGGUCUGUAACCACUGUCGGGCUUUGAACUGAGCUAAAUGCAUGACUUAUUUAAGAAGAGCUGGUAGCUGGGAACUGGUUGAACUAAGAGUGUCAAGAGUGAUUCUGAAGGUGUUUUCUUACACUUGCCUGUUUUCCUGGACUCUUAAGGUUGCCAAACAGCCAUGGGCAGAUGGUCCUUCAUCUCGGUUAUGAUUUUAAGUUAUGUCAUGGGUGACAGGAUUGACUAUUUCCCAAGAGUAGCUGGAAGAAGAAAUUCUUGUAAAAAAUGCCUGUGUCGUGUUGAGCAGCUA